UCGGCCAGGCCUGAGAUGCCGGGAGGGUUUGACCCUGGGGCUGCAUGGACAGCUUAGCGCUCGGCCGCUGGCGACAGCGGAGGGCGGAGGAUCUGCAGGUUCCGGGGGACGUGAAACGGGUAUGCAGGAGAUUAGAAGCCAGUGGGCAUGAGCGUGGCUGCCACCAGGUGAAUGCCUGUGCCCUGGCGUCCUGGGGCCCAGAGGACCGGGAGCUUCCAUCAAGAGGCUGCCUCCCAGCACCAAGGCCAGAGAGUGGCCAGGGGAGGCUAAGUACAGGGAUUUCUCAGAAUGGUGGAAGGAGCUCAGCCCAGCCUUGCCCAAGAUGUAUUGCAGGGGAAUCUAUGGAGUUUUGCUCUCGUUGCCCACGCUGGAGUGCAAUGGCAUGAUCUCAGCUCACUGCAACCUCCGCUUCCCAGGUUCAAGCGAUUCUCCUGCCUCAGCCACCCAAGUAGUUGGGAUUACAGGUGUGUGCCACCAUGCCUGGCGACUUUUGUAUUUUCAGUAGAGAUGGGGUUUCACCUUGUUGAUCAGGCUGGUCUCAAACUCCUGACCUCAAGUGAUCCACCCACCUCGGCCUCCCAAAGUGCUGGGAUUACAGGCGAGAGCCACCGUGCCCGGCCAUGACCUUCUUUAGUUCUUUGACCAUAUUUAAAAUGGCUGAGGUGAAGUCUCUGGGACAUUUUAGCCAUACCAAGAAUCAUUAGAAGAUGCAAGCUGGAAAAAAGAAGGUCCCAGUUUUGGUUUUGAACCCUUCAUGUUGCAGCAAAUGUGAAUCUCCUACAGAUGGGUUUGGGGACUUACCUGUUCAAAUAGCAGCCCGGUGUCCUCUGUGGGUGGGGGGAGGUUUGUCUGUCCUUUCAUUCUAGUAAAUCCACCAUCCUCUGCACGAGAGCCAGGAGAAUCCACAUCACUUCAAAAGAGCCCCCAAAUCCUUACUACGUACUACAGCCUCCUUUCGAAUGUUCCUGGUUGAGAGGGAGAUCAAUUGCAUUAUUUACAAGUCAAAAAAUUUUGUAUCAAACUUCCUAUGAGCUUGGGCACUCAUGGCCUAUGGAGGCCCACCCAGACGCAGCCCCGCCAUCAUGCUUUUUCGUUGUUUUGUGGAUGUACCCAGGGCUAUUUACACACUCUUUCAUUAAAAGGCUUAUUUUUAUAUUUAAA
rnacentral:lncRNA from 1 species